CCUACGGGAGGCAGCAGUGAGGAAUAUUGGUCAAUGGCCGUAAGCCUGAACCAGCCAAGUCGCGUGAAUGAAGAAGGAUCUAUGGUUUGUAAACUUCUUUUAUAGGGGAAUAAAGGUAUACGCGUGUGGAUUUUUGCAUGUACCCUAUGAAUAAGCAUCGGCUAACUCCGUGCCAGCAGCCGCGGUAAUACGGAGGAUGCGAGCGUUAUCCGGAUUUAUUGGGUUUAAAGGGUGCGUAGGUGGGUUGUUAAGUCAGGGGUGAAAGUUUGUGGCUCAACCAUAAAAUUGCCGUUGAAACUGGAAGUCUUGAGUAUGUUUGAGGUAGGCAGAAUGCGUGGUGUAGCGGUGAAAUGCAUAGAUAUCACGAAGAACUCCGAUUGCGAAGGCAGCUUACUAAGCCAUAACUGACACUGAAGUACGAAAGCGUGGGGAUCAAACAGGAUUAGAUACCCCAGUAGUC
rnacentral:rRNA from 1 species